GGCGGAGUGGCCUAGAGGUUCAAGGCGUUAGCCCCGAUUGCUAAAGACGCUGGUUCGAAUCCGGCCUUCACCA